rnacentral:lncRNA from 12 species
GGGGUGGUCAGAGACCGUCUUUUAUUGCCAAUUUUAUAGAAUGUAGGUUUCCUUAUAGAAUACGGAGUCCAUCAUUGUCUAUGAGCCUCUCUGAUUUGUGACUAAAAAACAGAUGUGUAUUCGUGAAUAUGUAGAUACUUGGGCAAAUGGAUCGUACAAGAUCUUAUGAGUCAGGAUUCCAAUGACUCUCCAAUGGGAAAAACCAGAAGAGGUAAAAUGAGGAAAUGAAGAUUACAUGCAAUUGAGGUGGCCAGAGAUGACUAUUGUCAUUAUACAAGCGUCUUUCCUUAGUAUUGGCACAGGUUUUCUAUAUAUAUAAGAAGUUGGUGUAUAUGUAUACAAUGGAAUAUCAUUCAGCUACAAAAGA